CAAAUAACAACCGUAUAUGGAUUGCUGAGAGAAAGACAGAACAGUGAAAAUGGGUGAUGACGGGACCAACGAGUGGCAAUAGCCAUACGAGUGGCAGAAAGAGUCAGAGGAGCUGUGGAGGAGAAGACAUAUGUGGAUGAACUACCCCUGGGAGCCUUGCUAAAGCCAUAGUUAUGGCUACAUUGGGGCUGUACAGGCAGCUGGAAGGGAACUUGCUCACUGCUAAAAGAAAGGGAAGUAGAAUCCAUUCCCCCCCUUUCCUUCGGGGCUGGCUUUAGAGUAGACCAACACCAGAGUGGAGAGAAAAUUUCCAGAAAUCUGAAAAGAAAGGCCUGCACUGGUGAGCAAGCCCUGGGAGUCAUGAUGGCUGUUAUGCAAGAGAAAUACUGUUGGUGUGGUUUGGCUGCCAAAGGCUUUUGGAGAAAUCUGUCUAACCAUUUUGUUCUUUCCCCCGAAGACAAUUUGUUCCCUAGGG